rnacentral:rRNA from 1 species
UGGGGAAUCUUCGACAAUGGGGGAAACCCUGAUCUAGCCAUGCCGCGUGAGUGACGAAGGCCCUAGGGUCGUAAAGCUCUUUCGCCAGGGAAGAUAAUGACGGUACCUGGUAAAGAAACCCCGGCUAACUCCGUGCCAGCAGCCGCGGUAAUACGGAGGGGGUUAGCGUUGUUCGGAAUUACUGGGCGUAAAGCGCACGUAGGCGGACCAGUCAGUCAGAGGUGAAAUCCCGGGGCUCAACCUCGGAACUGCCUUUGAUACUGCUGGUCUUGAGUUCGAGAGAGGUGAGUGGAAUUCCGAGUGUAGAGGUGAAAUUCGUAGAUAUUCGGAGGAACACCAGUGGCGAAGGCGGCUCACUGGCUCGAUACUGACGCUGAGGUGCGAAAGCGUGGGGAGCAAACAGGAUUAGAUACCCCGGUAGUCC